GCCUUACAGUCCGACUAUGUCAUUUCAAAAGACACAGGUAUUUACUUGGUACCAAAUAUUAAAGGCGGCGAGUCUGACAAAUAUAAUGCUUAUUAUGGCUGGGAAUCUACUUCUGGUUCAGCUUCUGGCUAUCACAGAUUCCGCAACUACAUGGACAAAUGCUCGGGUGGACAAAGCUACCUCACUGUUGACAAGAACGGGAGAGUGAGCCUUCGUUCGUUGAGCUCACUGGAAAAUUUAGCAGAGGCAGACUGGAAAUCCAUCAACCGACCAAAAAAUUUAAAUCACUGAGAAUUCAGAUUUUGGGUCUCUAAUAGUAGUGGGAAAUGCCUCACUGUUUCUGGAGGGAAGAAGGAGAAGAGAACCAUGGGUGUAGCUGAUUGCAAGUUCGAUGGCUCCAACCCUUACCAGCUAUUUGCCUUCCGCUUCCAUUACCACAAAGCCUUUUGCUGUUGCGACCUUCACAACAACUAAUUUCUCGGAAGCCUAAGGACAAUUGUGGUAAAGUUGAAUUUUUUCUUCAACUUUACCUUAAUUGUAGUCGAAUGGAAUAAAUUGAUGUCUGGUGAUUAUCUUGUCAUUUCUAAUUUUUUCUCAGUUCGAUCGAUUAUGGGACUGUUUGGUAUAGCUUAUGGAGCUACUUAUAAUUUUUUAUUUUAGAAUCCGUGCUAAGUGUUUGGUGUAACUUUUGCUUACAGCUUAUGAGGCUGAAAUAGCUGGAAAAGGCUAAUUAUUGAGAAGCAGUGGGAGAGGUGCUUUUAACUUCUGUUUGCUAAUAAUUAGCUUUUAGUUUGCUAGAAGGUGCACCAAACAGGCCCUGUGAUGUACUAAUGCCAUUUUUUUGGAAAAUAAAGAAGCUAGACAAUCUUAGAGAAGUGAAGUGGUUACAGAUUUCUAUUUUGAAUUUGGGAAGAAAUAUUGCUUGACUGACUUGGUUCACUUCAAGACACUGCAAAUUUGGCUAAAAAAUUGAUUGGAUAUGGGAUAUGUUCCAAUGGCUUUUCAUCAAAUUUAACUAAAAGUUUGAUUUGGCGAAAAAACUGACCGCUCCAAUCCUCACAUAAAAAUUUCAUCAAAUCCUUUUAAAAAAUAUCAAGCUUAUCCUCAAUAGCUUCUUUCAUCCCAACAAUUCAAGCUAUUAAGUUAAUCAUUCAACAAUUCAACAUAAAAAA